UACGAAGGGGGCUAGCGUUGUUCGGAAUUACUGGGCGUAAAGCGCCCGUAGGCGGAUUCUUAAGUCAGGGGUGAAAUCCCGGGGCUCAACCCCGGAACGGCCCUUGAUACUGUGAGUCUCGAGUCCGGAAGAGGUGAGUGGAAUUCCUGGUGUAGCGGUGAAAUGCGCAGAUAUUGGGAAGAACACCAGUGGCGAAGGCGGGUCACUGGAACGGUACUGACGCUGAGGCGCGAAAGCUUGGGGAGCGAAGGGG
rnacentral:rRNA from 1 species